AUGCAAGUCGAACGUGAAGCCGGGGCUUGCCCCGGUGGAAAGUGGCGAACGGGUGAGUAACACGUGAGGAACCUGCCCCGGAGACCGGGAUAACCCAGGGAAACUUGGGCUAACACCGGAUGCCUUCACCGAAUCACAUGGUCUGGUGAAGAAAUGGAUUCCGCUCCGGGAUGGCCUCGCGGCCUAUCAGCUUGUUGGUGAGGUAACGGCUCACCAAGGCUUCGACGGGUAGCUGGUCUGAGAGGACGAUCAGCCACACUGGGACUGAGACACGGCCCAGACUCCUACGGGAGGCAGCAGUUAGGAAUCUUGCACAAUGGGGGAAACCCUGAUGCAGCGACGCCGCGUGCGGGACGAAGGCCCUCGGGUCGUAAACCGCUUUCAGCAGGAACGAAAUUGACGGUACCUGCAGAAGAAGCCCCGGCCAACUACGUGCCAGCAGCCGCGGUAAUACGUAGGGGGCGAGCGUUGUCCGGAUUCAUUGGGCGUAAAGAGCUCGUAGGCGGUUCGGUAAGUCGGGUGUGAAAUCUCCGUGCUCAACACGGAGCGGCCACCUGAUACUGCCGUGACUCGAGUCCGGUAGGGGAGUGUGGAAUUCCCGGUGUAGCGGUGA
rnacentral:rRNA from 1 species